rnacentral:rRNA from 1 species
GAUGAACGCUAGCUACAGGCUUAACACAUGCAAGUCGAGGGGUAGCAGGGUAGCAAUACCGCUGACUACCGGCGCACGGGUGAGUAACACGUAUCCAACCUUCCCAUAACUCGGGGAUAGCCUUUCGAAAGAAAGAUUAAUACCCGAUAGUACUUUUUCAAGGCAUCUUGCGAAAGUUAAAGAUUUUUUGGUUAUGGAUGGGGAUGCGUUCCAUUAGAUAGUUGGUGAGGUAAAGGCUCAGCAAGUCUUCGAUGGAUAGGGGUUCUGAGAGGAAGGUCACCAACACUGGUACUGGGACACGGACCAGACUCCUACGGGAGGCAGCAGUGAGGAAUAUUGGUCAAUGGGCGAGAUCCUGAACCAGCGAAGUAGCGUGAAGGAUGAAGGUCCUAUGGAUUGUAAACUUCUUUUAUAGUAGAAAAAAGUGACCUACGUGUAAGUUUUUGUAUGUAUACUAUGAAUAAGGAUCGGCUAACUCCGUGCCAGCCGCCGCCGUAA